rnacentral:rRNA from 1 species
GGGCUCACCAAGGCUACGAUGGGUAGGGGUUCUAAGUGGAAGGUCCCCCACACUGGCACUGAGAUACGGGCCAGACUCCUACGGGAGGCAGCAGUAGGGAAUAUUGGUCAAUGGGCGCAAGCCUGAACCAGCCAUGCCGCGUGCAGGAUGAAGGCUCUCUGAGUUGUAAACUGCUUUUGUACAGGAGCAAAAAAACCCCUGAGGGGGUUCUUGAGAGUACUGUAAGAAUAAGCACCGGCUAAUUCCGUGCCAGCAGCCGCGGUAAUACGGGAGGUGCAAGCGUUAUCCGGUUUUAUUGGGUUUAAAGGGUGCGUAGGCGGCUUAUUAAGUCAGUUGUGAAAUCCUAGUGCUUAACGCUAGAACUGCGAUUGAUACUAUUAGGCUUGAGU